CGCCACCUCGUCCUGCUGUGGGCGCGAUCGAUCCGCUCGGGAUUUACGCCCACGUCGUCGCUCGCCAGCUCGUAACCGCAACAACCUGGGAAGACAGCGCCACCACCCGUUGUCUCGCUGGGAAGAACAGACCACCACCGCCUCCUUGACGUCCAAACUCCGGCCGCCACGGUGCAUCUCCGCCGCGAGCAAGCCUUCCAGGUGCAGAGAGGGGCAGAGGGCAGGCGAGCAGGCGGCCGGCAGGGGCAGAGCGCCGCCCGCCGGAGCCGCGGAGGAGCGGAGGACGGAGGGGCCGCAGGCAACGGCUGCCUCGGCGCAGGCGGCCGCCAGGCAGCAGGCCGGCGGCGGGCGGGGACCAUGUAAUCCUCCAAUCUAGGAUGUCAGCCAAGGAGUGGUGCCUCGAUUCAUCGAGUUUCUCAUGUUGGGCUUUUGGAUGGUACAUAUGGAUUGUAUUUUUGGACUGCAUUUUUUUGUUCGGUUCCUACUCUGUUAUCCAAGAGGUCUCCAUAGUAUGCCAUCAAGUAUGCAAAAGUUUACUAAAAGUAUGUUUGAAUGUGCCAGUCUUUGGGACCCGAGAUGAAGCUGGAUGCUCACGGAGGUGUCUUUUCUCCUAAAAUUUGGCACCGAGAUGCACAGAAGAAGGGGAAGAUGAUUUAGCCAGCAACGUUUCCUCCUGCAGGGAGGCAUUAGGGGCCAUGGCGGCAGCCUUGGCAGCUCUGAUACUGUUGCAGCUGGGAGGGCAAAAUAAGAUGAUAGGAUAUUUGCAUCCAGGAUACGUAAAGCUCCAGCGUGUUUUCAGUUGAUCUACUGAUAUAAGCAGCAGAGAAGCUUGCUUGGUCCGAGUGGCUAAAGUGCAUCAUGGCCUGCUAGGAGGAAUUUGGACAUAUUCUUGUGUUCGAAAUAUUGUAUGAUCGAGUAAACGUGCUUUCUUUAUAUACUUGCAUUGUACGUGUGUAGCUCUUUUCUAACUAAGGUGUGCUUCUUUAGUUGACCCAUCAAUAAAUCUGAUACCUUAUUCACUUAUUAA